rnacentral:lncRNA from 1 species
UAUCAGAUAGCUUUCGGAUCCUAUUUCUCACUCUACGAGUGUCAGAAUAAUAUGAAACUUUAAAUCUAGCCUCAUAAAAAUAAGUCUGACAUAUUUGCCAGCUUUCAUAAUUUUCUGACAAUGUGCAUUUUCUGCUAAUUUUUCUGCCUCGUUUCCAACAGAAAAUUCUAGAUUUUCUGUUUUCAUUCCGAUUUUAGCACAAGUCACUUCUGACUUAUGUUUUACUUCUCUAAAUCCAAUAAAAAUAGUAUCUCACACUAUUUUUUAUUUAUUUUCACUUUUAUAUUUAAAAUCCGGUAUGUUACAUUCCACCGCAACCGCACCGGAACCAUUUAAAUGUAUACCGUAACUUCAUGAUUUUCGAAGUUCGGU